rnacentral:lncRNA from 1 species
CUGACAGUGGUGGCGCGCUGCCACUUUAAAGGUGCAUGGAUUUCUCUGACCUUAUAUUCCUCAGGAUCAGAAGAACCCAGGGAGAAUGGGUUAUGUCACAAUGGGAGGUGAGGUUGGGAAAACAGUGCUUGCCUCACAGUGCUCCCCAAAGCCACCUUUGGUUCCAGGUGUAGACCAGGUAUGACAUACUAGUGCUUUCUCUAGAUGUGCAAAGAGGCCCGGUGGACUUCCAAGGAAAAUGGGCUCUGGCCUCCUCCUUCAGGUGAACUAGGAAGCCCAGUGUAGGACCCUCAGGGCCUUUGGAAGCACAGGUGACCCUUGAACACCACGGGUUUCAACUGUGUGGGUCCGCUUACAUGUGGAUUUUCUUUCCAAUAAAUACAGUGUCAUACUGUCAAUGUAUUUUCCCUUCCUUAUAAGUUUUUUAAAAUUUCUUUUAUGUUUAUUUAUUUUUGGGAGAGAGAGAGAGAGAGAGAGAGAGAGAGCGAGCUGUCAGCACAGAGCCUGAUGGGGGGCUCGAACUCACAAACUGCAAGAUCAUGACCUGAGCUGAAAUCGGACGCUUAACUGACUGAGUCACCCAGGCGCCCACCACCCCCCUUAUAAUGUUCUUAAUAACAUUUUCUUUUUUCUAGCUUACUUUAUUAUAAGAAUACAGUAUAUGAUACAUAGAACAUACAAAACGUGUUAAUCGACUGUUUAUGUUCUUGGUAAGGCUUCUAGUGAAGAGCAGGCUAUUAGUAGUUACAUUUUUGGGGAGUCCCUAACACCUGUGUUGCUCAAGGGUCAACUGCAUUGUCUUACAGCCUGGCACACCCAGUUCAUCCUUUAAAACAACGUUAGAGGCCAUCAAGCUCAUCCAACAAAUAUGUACUGUGUGUCAAGCACUGUUCUAGGGGCCAGAAAGAUAGCAGUGCAUGAAUCAGUGACAAAUGGAUUCAGAACACAACACGAGGCAGCUGAAUUCACUAGGAAGGAGCUGCCCGACCGAAUUUGCUUUCUCAGCCUUUUACCGACCAGCUGUGAGACCUUGAACAAGCCAGCCACCUGCCCCUGCAGUGCAUCUUCAGUGCAGUUUCAUCUGUAGGUGGGAAUAAUAAGA